UACGUAGGGUGCAAGCGUUGUCCGGAAUUAUUGGGCGUAAAGAGCUCGUAGGCGGUUUGUCGCGUCUGCUGUGAAAACUCAGGGCUUAACCCUGAGCCUGCAGUGGGUACGGGCAGACUAGAGUGUGGUAGGGGAGAUCGGAAUUCCUGGUGUAGCGGUGGAAUGCGCAGAUAUCAGGAGGAACACCGGUGGCGAAGGCGGGUCUCUGGGCCGAUACUGACGUGAGGAGCGAAAGCGUGGGGAGCAAACAGG
rnacentral:rRNA from 1 species